UGGGGAAUCUUGCGCAAUGGACGAAAGUCUGACGCAGCCACGCCGCGUGAGUGAAGAAGGCCUUCGGGUUGUAAAGCUCUGUCGAGCGGGACGAAAAUGCCUGGGGUUAACAGCCUCAGGUACUGACGGUACCGCUAAAGGAAGCACCGGCUAACUUCGUGCCAGCAGCCGCGGUAAUACGAGGGGUGCAAGCGUUGCUCGGAAUUAUUGGGCGUAAAGGGUAGGUAGGUGGUCUCAUUUGUCUCAUGUGAAAGCCUUGAGCUUAACUCAAGAAGUGCGUGAGAAACGGUGAGACUAGAGUCCUGGAGAGGGUCGUGGAAUUCCCGGUGUAGCGGUGAAAUGCGUAGAGAUCGGGAGGAACACCAGAGGCGAAGGCGGCGACCUGGACAGGUACUGACACUCAACUACGAAAGCGUGGGGAGCAAACAGGAUUAGAUACCCCCGUAGUCC
rnacentral:rRNA from 1 species